AGAGAGAACUCACGGUAAAAUUGUAGCUGCGGAGUGCCUCUUACAGAAUGCUUUUAAGCAUUUGCCCUGAAGCUACCUUGCAGUUUUCUGUGCCUACUCGUCUUUGAGGUCGAGCUUGACUGCCUAGAAGGUAUCAGACCAGAGGGGAACUCAGGACAUGCCUCAGCCCCAGGUCCUGUAUAUCUCUUCAGUUGUUCAUACCUGAGACUAGAAUUAAAGAUGCCAGUACAACCACCAAAAGAUGCUAGGCACUCAGAACCAGUUUCAAUUGGAGUUGAGCACUGAAGUACAAGGGUAGCCUACAAAAUGCACAAUGUUCAAUGUUCUCUGAUGGUCACAAGGGAUCCUAAAACAUUGU